rnacentral:rRNA from 1 species
CAGGACGAACGCUGGCGGCGUGCUUAACACAUGCAAGUCGAACGGGAUUAAGUGGAAGGUUCGGCCUGGAAGAAUAAUUCGAGUGGCGGACGGGUGAGUAACGCGUGAGCAACCUGUCCCAGACAGGGGGAUAACACUUGGAAACAGGUGCUAAUACCGCAUAAGACCACGGGGUCACAUGGCUCUGGGGUAAAAGGAGCAAUCCGGUUUGGGGUGGGCUCGCGUCCGAUUAGAUAGUUGGUGAGGUAACGGCCCACCAAGUCGACGAUCGGUAGCCGACCUGAGAGGGUGAUCGGCCACAUUGGAACUGAGAGACGGUCCAAACUCCUACGGGAGGCAGCAGUGGGGAAUAUUGGGCAAUGGGCGAAAGCCUGACCCAGCAACGCCGCGUGAGUGAAGAAGGCCAUCGGGUUGUAAAGCUCUGUUAUAGGGGACGAAGGAAGUGACGGUACCCUAUAAGGAAGCCCCGGCUAACUACGUGCCAGCAGCUGC